AGAGUUUGAUCCUGGCUCAGAGCGAACGCUGGCGGCAGGCCUAACACAUGCAAGUCGAGCGGGCACCUUCGGGUGUCAGCGGCAGACGGGUGAGUAACGCGUGGGAACGUGCCCUUUGGUUCGGAACAACUCCGGGAAACUGGAGCUAAUACCGGAUAAGCCCUUCGGGGGAAAGAUUUAUCGCCAAAGGAUCGGCCCGCGUCUGAUUAGCUAGUUGGUAGGGUAAUGGCCUACCAAGGCGACGAUCAGUAGCUGGUCUGAGAGGAUGAUCAGCCACACUGGGACUGAGACACGGCCCAGACUCCUACGGGAGGCAGCAGUGGGGAAUAUUGGACAAUGGGCGCAAGCCUGAUCCAGCCAUGCCGCGUGAGUGAUGAAGGCCUUAGGGUUGUAAAGCUCUUUCACCCACGACGAUAAUGACGGUAGUGGGAGAAGAAGCCCCGGCUAACUUCGUGCCAGCAGCCGCGGUAAUACGAAGGGGGCUAGCGUUGCUCGGAAUCACUGGGCGUAAAGGGCGCGUAGGCGGCCGAUCAAGUCAGGGGUGAAAGCCUGUGGCUCAACCACAGAAUUGCCUUUGAUACUGUUCGGCUCGAGACCGGAAGGGGUUGGUGGAACUGCGAGUGUAGAGGUGAAAUUCGUAGAUAUUCGCAAGAACACCAGUGGCGAAGGCGGCCAACUGGUCCGGUUCUGACGCUGAGGCGCGAAAGCGUGGGGAGCAAACAGGAUUAGAUACCCCCGUAGUCC
rnacentral:rRNA from 2 species